CCCUUAGAUGUUCUGGGCCGCACGCGCGCUACACUGAUGCAUUCAACGAGUUUUACCUUGGCCGAGAGGCCUGGGCAAUCUUUUAAACCUGCAUCGUGAUAGGGAUAGAUUAUUGCAAUUAUUAAUCUUGAACGAGGAAUUCCUAGUAAACGCAAAUCAUCAAUUUGCAUUGAUUACGUCCCUGCCCUUUGUACACACCGCCCGUCGCACCUACCGAUUGAAUGGUCCGGUGAAGCCUCGGGAUUGUGGCCAGUUCACUUUAUUGGGAGUUGGCUGCGAGAACUUGUCUAAACCUUAUCAUUUAGAGGAAGGUGAAGUCGUANCA
rnacentral:rRNA from 1 species